UUCAGUUAUUUUUCAAAGGUUUCAAUGUUAAUCGGUUUGUCCAUUUCAAUUUCAGGCUCUUUGAAUAAUUUAAGGUCAUUGGGUAGAUCAAGUUUGUUUGGUCAAAGGAUGGAAUCAAGAAAUAAUCAUUAUCUACUGUUCACCUUUAACUUUAUUAAUAAUAUACUUGGACAUGAAGCUUCAGAUGAAAGGAAUCUUGGAGACUGACUGUUGACUAGAUGAUGGAGGAUCAAUCUCAGGUUAAAUGAUUUUCAAUCUCAAUGUCUUGAAGGUACAACAAGCCAAGAAGGAAAAAAGCUCUACUUCGUCUUGGUUUCUUUAGCAAAAAGGAUUAAGUUGAUCUUUUUAUUUUUCUCACUGAACAAGAAGACGUAAAAGACAGACGAACCCAAAGUUGAAGAAAAGCAAGACAAAAAUAAUCCAAUGGAUUCAUUUCAAUUCCUAUCCAAUUGCAAUCCGAAUCUGAAAUUAUGGAACCUUAAUCAAGAAAAGUUAACGAUCCUGUAAUGUUGACAGUAUUUUUGAAUCCAUUGCUGACUGAUGAUCACUGCUUAUCAUAAUUAUGAUGCUCUGAGUUAAUUUGUUUGAUUCUCUCUCCUGAGAAUUAACUCUACCGAAGUUGAUUGCUCAAUUAGAAACUAAUUAUCAACAUUUGAAUAAGUCGCUUGGUAAAUUGGUUGUAAUUGUGAUGACGGUGAUGUUAAUAGUUGAGGUCAUUGGUUGGGUCACAGGUAAAUGUGUAAAAAAAGGAGAAAUAAUAAACGAGUUAAUUGUCAGUUCAAUAAUUAUCCUUAAUUGUUAAUAUAAUUUGUUAAAGGAUUCAAUUUCAAUCAUAAACGUACGAAAAAACCAAAAAGAGUAAAGUAAAUGUAAUAAAUGAUAUUAAUAAUGAUUUGAUGCUGUGAUCAUUGAUCAGUGGUUUAAGGGCGAAAUCUCAUAUUAAUAAUAAUGAAACCUCUUGAGGGUUAAUUUGACUUGAUUAAGGUUGAUGACACAUUCAAUAAUCAAAAUGAAAAUCAAUGAACAAAAAAUCAAUUGCAAUUAACAUCUGAACACUUUAAUCUAUUGGGAUAAAUUUACCUUGAAAGUGAAACAUUACACUCCUAACAUCUCUAUUAGUAUCAUAUUUAGAUCAUUGGAAUUGUUAAUUGUCUUAAUAGAGAGUAAACCAUUCCGAGUUAACCAUCAAUCAAAUGAACUGGAAAUCAACAAAUAAGCUCAUUUUCCUGAUAAUUAUAACAUUGAACUAAUAUGGUGGUUAUUUGC